rnacentral:rRNA from 1 species
GACGAACGCUGGCGGCGUGCUUAACACAUGCAAGUCGAACGGAAAGGCCUCUUUCGGGGGGUACUCGAGUGGCGAACGGGUGAGUAACACGUGAGUAACCUGCCCUUGACUUUGGGAUAACUUCAGGAAACUGGGGCUAAUACCGGAUAGGAGCUCCUGCUGCAUGGUGGGGGUUGGAAAGUUUCGGCGGUUGGGGAUGGACUCGCGGCUUAUCAGCUUGUUGGUGGGGUAGUGGCUUACCAAGGCUUUAACGGGUAGCCGGCCUGAGAGGGUGACCGGCCACAUUGGGACUGAGAUACGGCCCAGACUCCUACGGGAGGCAGCAGUGGGGAAUAUUGCACAAUGGGUGGAAGCCGGAUGCAGCAACGCCGUGUGCGGGAUGACGGCCUUAGGGUUGUAAACCGCUUUCGCUCAUGACGAAGCUUUGUGUGACGGUAGUGGGUAAAGAAGCACCGGCUAACUACGUG